GGAAGAAUAGAAAUUACGAUAAUAAAAUCCUAAUUCUAAUAGAAUACUAACAAUGCUCUAAUUAGACUAUAAUAAUGGUAAAAAAAUGUAAUCAAAUUCAAAACAACUCAAAGAAAUUUCAAACAAACAAUAAAAUUUUUAAAGAAAUAUUAGAAUGAUCACAAAUAUUACUCAAAUAUAUGUCAAUUCAACCUUAAUUUAAUUCUAGUUAAAAUUCUAUUGAAUUUCACUCAAACUUUAGACCAAACCUAAUUAAAUCUUAAACCCUAAUAAAUCCUAAACCCUAAGUUAAAUCCUAAACAAACCUUAAAUUAAAUCCUAAAUCAAACCCUAUUUCAAACCCUAAAUCCUAAACCAAACCUUAAAUCAAAUCUUAAUCUAAAUCCUAAAUCAAACCCUAACCAAAUCUUAAACCCUAAUCCAAAUCCUAAUCCAAAUCCUAAAUCAAAUCAUAACCAAAUCCUAAAUCCUAAUCCAAAUCCUAAUCCAACCCUAAAUCCUAAUCAGAUCCUAAAUCCUAAUCCAAAUCCUAAUCCAAAUCCUAAUCCAAAUCUUAAUCCAAAUCCUAAUCCAAAUCCUAAUCAAAUCCUAAUCCAAAUCCUAAUCAAAUCCUAAUCCAAAUCCUAAUCAAAUCCUAAUCCAAAUCCUAAUCAAAUCCUAAUCCAAAUCCUAAAUCAAACCCUAACAAAAUUCUAAAUCCUAAUCCAAAUCCUAAUCUAAACCCUAAAUCAAAUCCUAACCAAAUCCUAAUCCAAACCCUAAACUCUAAAUCAAACCCUAAAUCGAACCCUAGCCAAAUCCUAAUUCAAAUCGUAGUAAUUCCUAUGAUAGUUUUAAACUUCAAUACCUAAUGAAUAAACCGUUGAUCUCAAUUCAAAAUUUUCACACAUCUUAAAAAUCAAGUUUAAAACAAGCACAAAA
rnacentral:lncRNA from 1 species